AGAGUUUGAUCAUGGCUCAGGAUGAACGCUAGCGGCAGGCUUAAUACAUGCAAGUCGAGGGGCAGCAGGGGUAGCAAUACCCGCUGGCGACCGGCAAACGGGUGCGGAACACGUACACAACCUUCCUUUAAGUGGGGAAUAGCCCAGAGAAAUUUGGAUUAAUACCCCGUAAAAUUAUUGAAUGGCAUCAUUUGAUAAUUAAAGCUCCGGCGCUUGAAGAUGGGUGUGCGUCUGAUUAGGUAGUUGGUGCGGGUAACGGCCCACCAAGCCUUCGAUCAUUAACUGGUGUGAGAGCACGACCAGUCACACGGGCACUGAGACACGGGCCCGACUCCUACGGGAGGCAGCAGUAAGGAAUAUUGGUCAAUGGACGAAAGUCUGAACCAGCCAUGCCGCGUGAAGGAUGACUGCCCUCUGGGUUGUAAACUUCUUUUAUAGGGGGCGAAAAAAGGGAAUUCUUUCCCGUCUGACGGUACCCUAUGAAUAAGCACCGGCUAACUCCGUGCCAGCAGCCGCGGUAAUACGGAGGGUGCAAGCGUUAUCCGGAUUCACUGGGUUUAAAGGGAGCGCAGGCGGACCUGUAAGUCAGUGGUGAAAUACCUGAGCUUAACUCGGGAACUGCCAUUGAUACUAUCGGUCUUGAAUGUUGUUGAGGUUUGCGGAAUGGGUCAUGUAGCGGUGAAAUGCAUAGAUAUGACCC
rnacentral:rRNA from 1 species